GAUGAAGAACGCAGCGAAAUGCGAUAAGUAAUGUGAAUUGCAGAAUUCAGUGAAUCAUCGAAUCUUUGAACGCACAUUGCGCCCCCUGGUAUUCCGGGGGGCAUGCCUGUUCGAGCGUCAUUUCACCACUCAAGCCUCGCUUGGUGUUGGGCAACGCGGUCCGCCGCGUGCCUCAAAUCGACCGGCUGGGUCUUCUGUCCCCUAAGCGUUGUGGAAACUAUUCGCUAAAGGGUGUUCGGGAGGCUACGCCGUAAAACAACCCCAUUUCUAAGGUUGACCUCGGAUCAGGUAGGGAUACCCGCUGAACUUAAGCAUAUCAAUAAGCGGAGGA
rnacentral:misc_RNA from 1 species